rnacentral:rRNA from 1 species
UGGGAACGCGAAGAACCUUACCUAAGCUUGACAUCCUUUUUGACCGAUGCCUAAUCGCAUUUUUCCCUUCGGGGACAGAAGUGACAGGUGGUGCAUGGUUGUCGUCAGCUCGUGUCGUGAGAUGUUGGGUUAAGUCCCGCAACGAGCGCAACCCUUGCCUUUAGUUGCCAGCAUUAAGUUGGGCACUCUAGAGGGACUGCCAGGGAUAACCUGGAGGAAGGUGGGGAUGACGUCAAAUCAUCAUGCCCCUUAUGCUUAGGGCUACACACGUGCUACAAUGGGUGGUACAGAGGGCAGCCAAGUCGUGAGGCCGAGCUAAUCCCUUAAAGCCAUUCUCAGUUCGGAUUGUAGGCUGAAACUCGCCUACAUGAAGCUGGAGUUACUAGUAAUCGCAGAUCAGAAUGCUGCGGUGAAUGCGUUCCCGGG